GACGAACGCUGGCGGCGCGCCUAACACAUGCAAGUCGAACGAGCGAGAGGAGGUUUACUUUCUCAAGCGAGUGGCGAACGGGUGAGUAACGCGUGAGGAACCUGCCUCAAAGAGGGGGACAACAGUUGGAACCGACUGCUAACACCGCAUAAGCCCACGACCCGGCAUCGGGUAGAGGGAAAAGGAGCAAUCCGCUUUGAGAUGGCCUCGCGUCCGAUUAGCUAGUUGGUGAGGUAAUGGCCCACCAAGGCGACGAUCGGUAGCCGGACUGAGAGGUUGAACGGCCACAUUGGGACUGAGACACGGCCCAGACUCCUACGGGAGGCAGCAGUGGGGAAUAUUGCACAAUGGGGGAAACCCUGAUGCAGCGACGCCGCGUGGAGGAAGAAGGUCUUCGGAUUGUAAACUCCUGUUGUUGAGGAAGAUAAUGACGGUACUCAACAAGGAAGUGACGGCUAACUACGUG
rnacentral:rRNA from 1 species